rnacentral:sRNA from 1 species
UGACUGUUUUCUAUCAUAUGUGACGGUA